rnacentral:lncRNA from 1 species
AACUGUUUUGACAAACUACACAUUGUAAAGAAAUAAGUAUAUUAUAUAACUGUGAAAUGAUAUUAUAUCGUCAUCCACUUUCAAGAUAUAAAAAUCAGAAAAAAACUACUUGAGACACAUUUCUCCUUGAUAAUUUGAUUGCAGUAUUAUGAAAGGCAGGACGAUAAUAUUCUGCUUGUCAACAUAUGCCUGCACAAAGCUCCAAACAGAUUACAUAAUUAUGUAAACAAUUUAGUUAAAAAAUAUAUUGUUGUUGACAUCUAUAUAUUUCUGGAGGUCAAUGUACAGUAAAUAGGCCAUGUCGCAAUUUAAAAAAAGAUGCAUACAACUUUGGCUGUUAGUGGAACUUUAACUGAAAAUUUCGGGGGAAAUAGAUUUAUCUUUUAUUUGCUACGUCACGUUAUAAGUUAAAAAAAAAAAAGUGGAUUUGUCGUUAACAACAAGGUAACAGAUUGUUAUUAAGAUACACCCAAGAACCAGUAACCCUUAAUUGGUUAUUUUACAUCAUUUAAACAGGAAUGUAUGUAACAACAAAUUAAGAAAUAGACCAAAACAUACGAACCUAACACUGACCAAUGAAAAGGACAAUGAGGUCAAGGACAAAUGAAUCCUGUCAGUCAGAUUUGAUAACAUUACAAUCAUUUUAUACAUUAAAUAUAGCUGACCUACUGCUUAUUGAGAAAUGGAACUAACUAUGGAAACUUGACAUUUACCAAUGGAAAAUGAUACUAGAUCAUGGUCAAAUGAUACCUGAAAAC